rnacentral:lncRNA from 1 species
CUGGUAUGUGGAUCCAUAAUGCUGUACUAUAGAAGGUGAUAAUUCUAUACUGGUAUGUGUAUCCAUAAUGCUGUACUAUAGAAGGUGAUAAAUCUAUACUGGUAUGUGUAUCCAUAAUGCUGUACUAUAGAAGGUGAUAAAUCUAUACUGGUAUGUGUAUCCAUAAUGCUGUACUAUAGAAGGUGAUAUAUCACCCAGCCCUACAUCAGCUUCUAACCAUGCAGUUCACAAGGCACAUCUGUGUAAAGGCUGCAGUACAUUCCUGUGAUGAAAAGAUCUCUGCUAGGUCGUGUCAUGUUGUGAUAUAAAGAGCAUGCUCUGGGUCUGCAAGGUUAGCUUAGGUAUGUUUUACAUUUUUCCUGCAGUCAAAUGACCAAUUCAUAUUUAAUAAAUAAUAAUAAACAUAAUUAAUAAACAUUAUUUUAUUUUAUUUAUUUUUGUUUCAAAGUAUAUUUUUUAAGACAAGAAAC